ACACUAAACCUGUUCAUAAUAGCUUUUGAAACUAAAAUUGCUUUUUAAAGAAACGUCCAAAAGAGGACGAACACUUUCAGACUUCCCUUAACUUCGCCGCACCGGGAUUCUUCACCGGCGCCGGCGACGACUCGGAUCAUAAUGCCAUCCCAACAAAAUCCUCACCUCAAUCCCCUAGUAUCUAAUCCAUCAUCAGGUUUUAUCGAUACGUCAUCCAAUGUUCUCACCGACGCGAGCUACAUAUGAGUCCUAAAUUCCGAAUCGAACGACUAAACCAGAGCAAUCGUGAAAUCAAAACUCAAGAUGUGAAAACCUCCUUCCACGAAUCUCAGACUACAUGGCGAAAAUGAAAAUAAGCCUAACGGAAGCGAGAUCCUACCUGCGAGGAGGAGAAGUUCCUCGGUGAAUGUUGAAUUCGAAGUUAUGGACGAAGGUGAACAAUCUGCACGAAGAUCCUCAGGAAAUGCUAUGCUAUGCGGAACCCUAUUUCAGUCAGUAUACCUUCGUCAGAUGGUUGGUUUGAAAUUGAUUUUCACCAUGUCUGAUGCAUUAUGCCUUGGCUGCAGAGUUUGUGUGGUUUCGAUCGCCGUGGAAGCUGCAGGUGGAUUUCUGGUUUCACGAUAAUUUGGGGGAGAUUCUGCUAUGAGUUUCCAUUCACUCUACUAUGCACUGUCGGGAUUACAUUGGCUUUGGGAUGGCUUGGAAUGGAGUUGUGAGAUUGUUUGUUUUUGGUUCUGCGAAUUGGUCACGGUGUGGUUUUGAGCCGUGUUGCUGCUAUUCGCGUCUUGGCUAUGCAUUUCGACUUGCAGCCGGUGUGCGCUCAUUUUGUUGUUGCAGUAGCUGCGAUUGAGGUUCAGCUAAGACUGGUUUUACUGUGCGUCAAUUGCACUGCAAUGUGUAUGGUUGGACGAAUUACUUGCAUUGCGAAUGGAUGGAUAGCUGGACCGAAUUUACGUGCAGUUAAUUUAGCAUCUAUCAGGAAAAAAUUUAAUUGAAGAAAAACACUGCGGUUAUUUUUUAUUAAAGUUAUUUGGGUGAAGUUAGGAAAAGAAAUGGAUUAGUUAUGUGGAUUUGCUGUCAUGGAUUGCCUCUAAUUAUGCUUUUUCCUCCUCUUUGCAGGGCUGGUAUUAUCCAAAACAUUGUUAUAACCAACUCUGUCUGGGCAAGGAAGUGCAUUCUCACCGAGGACGGGUAGUCCGACAUCCCACCCGACAUUCAACAGUUACCAAACUAAUCGCUCAGGAUCAGCAUAUGGCUCUGGAAAGCUCUCGUGUUGAUUCAAUGUGCGCAGGUCACCACAAGCAAUGUUCAAGCUAACUCCAUUUCUCUUUAACAUUGCAACAAUUGCAGCAUAGCCAUCACGAUUGCAUGGAUUAUAAUACCCAGCAGUGUUGUGAUUUAGCACCAAAUGGAGAAGCCCAUUUAAUAUUGUUAAAUCAAUCUUCUCGAAAAAAUUUCAGACUUGGUCUGCAGCAUACUUCACAAAUUGUUUAUACCUUGACACCACUCAUAAACCAAAACGGAUGGUGGUUUUGGAUCUGCGGGCUUGAUCCAGUUGGGAAAGAGAUAACUAUUGUUGCCACAGACAUUGAUCAAGAUGUGCAUCGGUAAGCUUCUCAAGAGGUUCUAUUUCGUACAUAGGAAUCAAGUAGCUAUAUAAAUCCAUAAACUCUAUUACAACUUUUUGAAGGCACGUUGGGUGAGGAGUAUUAGGCCUGGCCGAACCCUCUUUUUGUGUGUGCUGAGUUUGAUAUAUAAAAAAUGAAUAAAAUGGGUUAAUCCUUCAUUACAAA